AGCUAUUAAAUGCUGACAAACUAAUGAGCUCAGCCAGAGUUCCUGUUCUGAUGAAAAGAACACAGAAAGUGAUUUUUUGUAUUUUACCCAAGGAUUUUAAAUAACUAGUAUAAUUCCAGACGCAUAGGAAAAGAUGUUAAUUCCUUACUUACUAUAGAUGCCUUAGGGUAUUAAGGCUUAAUUCUCUCUUAGAACUCUGGUUAAGAAAGGCUGACUAAAAUACGUGGUAUAUUCAACUGGGAUGAAUAGGCUUUGAGAUUUUUUUCCCUCCCUCUAAAAUCUCUAGUGUUUUAUAAUAACUGACAUUCCUGGUAAAGUACAUUUUUCCUGUCCGUGAAGUCAAAGUAUACAAUUUGAAUCGAAGCAGUUCUAUAUACUCAGUCACUGAAAUACAGUUCCUUGUCUUUCAUUGAAGGUGAUUCAGACCUUUACUCUACCUUUAAAAUAGUGACCCAACAUUCAGUGGCAUAUUUUUCCCUUCUUCCACUCUCUCCCACAGCGUAUAUUUGGGCAUAUAUGCCUGUGUGUAAGUGUAUCCACCUGGGUAAAGCUAAUGUCUAAAGCUGUUGCACUUUCAUUAUUAGAACCUUCUUUCUAAGAAUCACAUGAUAUUUGGUUCUCUAUUUGUUUAACCUUCACUGUAAAAAAAACUAAAAUCGUGAAUUUUAACUCUCUGCCUUCGAUUGGGAUGGGUGCAGUUUACGUAUGUGUGGAUCCUCAGUAUCUAGCCAUUGUAGAGUGCACAGUGGGUGCUUUGUUAAUAUUCAAAUUAGAUUAUAAUAUUUAAUCACAUGGAUAUUAGUUCAACUCCUUCACUUUUGAUAUUUAAAAACAAAGAACAACCUGACAUCCACUUAUUUAUGUGACUUGUCUAAAAGACAUCAAUAAUUAUUAGUAGAUUUGGGACCAGAAGUGGUUUUGUUGAUUCACUAUACCAGACUGCCUUACAAUUUUAAUAGAAUGACAGACAGUAAGUAGUGCUUGCCUUUUAAAUAUCAAAGCCCAGUUAUACUGAAGAAACCAAGAAUCUCCCAGCAAUAUAACUCUGUAGCUCAGUUGUGAAUCAGUGUUAAGCACAAUCUGAAUUAAAGUUAUUUUAUGAAUGCCAGAGUCCCAAAACAGUACAGCAAGGUGGUAGAGUGGAGUGGCUAGCAGUAGAAUCUUACAGAUUCAUGUUUGAGCUGUAGCUCUGCCAUUACUUUCUUUUUUAUUUUUAAAUUUUUUAUAUUUAUGGAUACAUAAUAGUUGCAUUGUUCUUACCAUAUAGUAGAUACUGGCUAAAAGUCAGCCAUUAGAAAUUCAUAGUGAAUACAAGGUGCUCAGAACUUUAAAGGUGUAAAUUGUGAAUUUUUAUCUUUUUAAUCCUGGAAGAUAUGCUGUGGUCUUUUUGUUUGUUUGUUUUUAAUUCUACUGCAUCUUCUUGCAACACUGUGGUUUUUUAAAUGUUGUGGGUUACCUAAGAACAACCUUAUAAAAAGGAUUUUACUUUUUCAAUGAGCUUUUUAUAUUAAUAGAAUCUCUUAUUUUCUUUAUUUACUAUCAUCUCCCUCAACUCUGUUGGAAUUUAUUUCUGUUUUUGAGAAGGGUUUUGUCAUUAUAUACAUGUAGUGACCGUUUUCUAAAAAGUCUCCUCCUUGGCAUUAAUUUCACAUGUUUUUUAGUAUUUCAGUUUAUUGAAAUGUAUUCUUAGUUCAUGUCACUCAUGUCAAGAGAGGGAAUACAAUUGUCUUGAACUUUUUCCCCAGAAUGUAACCUCAACUGGUCCAGGAAACUAAUAACUUGGAGCAGAUCUUUCUCAGAGUUGUGGUAUCUAAUAGUCCAGAGUAUUCAAUGAAUAUUAUUGGGUCCAAUAUAAUAACAAUAAAAGAAAAUAAUUUGACAUGGAAACAAUUUUUUUAUAAUAGUUCUUUCAGAGGGAGCUCAUCCAUAAAAAAUAUUUAGCGCCUUUUACAUUGUAAUUAAUGAAUUUAUGAAAUUUAGUUAGAAAGUUUGCUCAAACUUACUAAGGCCAACAGAAGAAGUUACUUAAUCCUGGGAAAUAUUCUGUAGUCUUCUUUUUUUUUAAAUUCUUCUGCAUCUUCUCAGGAUGCUGUGAUCUUUCAAAUGUCAUAGGUUACCUAAGAACAGCUAAUAUUCUAUUACUGCUGGUAGACUUAAAAUCCUUCUGAUAUGAAUUUGAAAAGAAUCCAACAUUUGCUAACACCUAAAUAAAUACUGUUACCUCCUAAUGGAUGUGUAUGCUAUAGCAUUUUCUAGGUUUAAAAAUUCAUUAGUAGUAGUGAAACAAUUUCAAUGUUGUGUUUUUCUUUGACCAUGAUUUUGAGUUGCUUAUUUCCAAAGUAAUCCCAUUCAUUCAUAGUUACUUUCCUGAGUUGCAGCUUUGAAAAGCUAAAAUUUGAAAGAAGCCAAACACCUUUAUAGAAACCAGGAACUUAUGUUUGAAAUCUAAACAGUUGCAUCUAUUCUAGUUAUCUCUGAGCUUUGCUAAAUAAUUGAUUAAAA